GACGAACCGUGCGAACGUUGUUCGGAAUCACUGGGCUUAAAGGGCGCGUAGGCGGGCCACAAGGUCCGUGGUGAAAGCCCCCGGCUCAACCGGGGAACAGCCUCGGAUACCGGUGGCCUCGAGGGGGGUAGGGGCACGUGGAACUUCCGGUGGAGCGGUGAAAUGCGUUGAUAUCGGAAGGAACGCCGGUGGCGAAAGCGGCGUGCUGGACCCCAUUCUGACGCUGAGGCGCGAAAGCCAGGGGAGCGAACGG
rnacentral:rRNA from 1 species